CCUACGGGCGGCAGCAGUGAGGAAUAUUGGUCAAUGGGCGCGAGCCUGAACCAGCCAAGUAGCGUGACGGAUGACUGCCCUACGGGUUGUAAACUUCUUUUAUAAAGGAAUAAAGUGAGGCACGUGUGCCUUUUUGUAUGUACUUUCUUAAUAAUGAUCGGCUAACUCCGUGCCAGCAGCCGCGGUAAUACGGAGGAUCCGAGCGUUAUCCGGAUUUUUUGGGUUUAAAGGGAGCGUAGAUGGGUUGGUAAGUCAGUUGUGAAAGUUUGCGGCUCAACCGUAAAAUUGCAAUUGAUACUGGCAGUCUUGAGUACAGUUGAGGUAGGCGGAAUGCGUGGGGUAGCGGUGAAAUGCUUAGAUAUCACGAAGAACUCCGAUUGCGAAGGCAGCUUACUAAACUGCCACUGACAUUGAUGCUCGAAAGUGUGGGUAUCAAACAGGAUUAGAUACCCUUGUAGUC
rnacentral:rRNA from 1 species